GUAUGUUCAAAAUCUUGUGAUGUAUAUUCAAUAUCUUGUGAUGUAUAUUCGAAAUCUUGUGAUGUAUAUUCUAUAAUCUUGUGAUGUAUGUUCGAAAUCUUGUGAUGUAUAUUCGAAAUCUUGUGAUGUAUGUUUGAUAAUCUUGUGAUGUAUAUUCGAAAUCUUGUGAUGUAUGUUCGAUAAUCUUGUGAUGUAUAUUCGAAAUCUUGUGAUGUGUGUUCUACAAUUCAGUGAUGCGUGCAAUAAAAUUGCAUGACGCAACAGAAAAGUAAGGACAAUUUUCAUUGGUUAGAAAUAACGAAAGUAGCCGGAGCGGUCGUAAUGCACACAUUGACACAACUUCGCAAGCAUGAAAUUGACGAAUUCAACCUAAAGUCAAAAUUAUAGGAACUUUACGUAGGUCUACAGUUUUAAUUUUGGACUCAUGCACUAGGAAUAUCAUAUCAGCAGAAUUGUGCCACUGAAUCAAAGGGAACUCUUUUUUUUUAGGUACGCAUGAUCGAUGUAACUUCCUCGAUGGUGUGUUGGCUGUUUGCCCAUGUGUAUUUCGGGGUAUAGGAGUAGCCUCCCCUUUUAAAGAUCAAAAAUGGUGAUUUUACAGUGCGGCAUGCAGUCUGGUCUUCAACGAAGAGUUUUGACACCUGUAAUACCCAUAUUUCUACCAUUCACCUCUGUAACCUUUGUUGAGUUCAUCAGACUGUCACUAGGCAACACUAAAGAUUUCCACUUAUUGCUUUUCUGUCCAAGACAGGAAGUUGAGGAACAAAGUUGACAGGACAUCCUGAACUGUCUUCGCUACCAGCUUAUGAGGGAACCAGCUGCAGUGGACAAAGUAUGUUACAUCAUAGGAUAAUAGCAUUGAAUUGGAUUCUUGAACCAGAGCCAUGUGAACCUGGUCCACCUGUACCUCUCAUUGAAGACCUGUUAACAUCACCAGAGUAUGUUCAUUCUGAUACCCCUAUGGUAUGGUUACAGCAUGCAUUAUCCCUGAAUCCAUUAAAAGAGCUGCAUUGGCAAUGAAACAACCCAAUGUGGUCGAUUGUAAGGAAACAUAGCAUAUCAGCUUCCAACUUUGGUGCAGUUCUCAGUUCUAAGCAAAGGCGAUUGACAUUGUCACUGAAGAAACAGCUGAUGUCGGCUUACAAUCUGGAGUCCAUCAAGGCUGUUGCAUGGGGUAUCACUCAUGAAGAUG